AGCGAACGCUGGCGGCAGGCUUAACACAUGCAAGUCGAACGGGCUUCUUCGGAAGUCAGUGGCAGACGGGUGAGUAACACGUGGGAACGUGCCCUUCGGUUCGGAAUAACUCAGGGAAACUUGAGCUAAUACCGGAUACGCCCUUUUGGGGAAAGGUUUACUGCCGAAGGAUCGGCCCGCGUCUGAUUAGCUUGUUGGUGGGGUAACGGCCUACCAAGGCGACGACCAGUAGCUGGUCUGAGAGGAUGAUCAGCCACACUGGGACUGAGACACGGCCCAGACUCCUACGGGAGGCAGCAGUGGGGAAUAUUGGACAAUGGGCGCAAGCCUGAUCCAGCCAUGCCGCGUGAGUGAUGAAGGCCUUAGGGUUGUAAAGCUCUUUUGUCCGGGACGAUAAUGACGGUACCGGAAGAAUAAGCCCCGGCUAACUUCGUG
rnacentral:rRNA from 1 species